GACGAACGCUGGCGGCGUGCUUAACACAUGCAAGUCGAACGGAAAGGCCCUGCUUUUGUGGGGUGCUCGAGUGGCGAACGGGUGAGUAACACGUGAGUAACCUGCCCUUGACUUUGGGAUAACUUCAGGAAACUGGGGCUAAUACCGGAUAGGAGCUCCUGCUGCAUGGUGGGGGUUGGAAAGUUUCGGCGGUUGGGGAUGGACUCGCGGCUUAUCAGCUUGUUGGUGGGGUAGUGGCUUACCAAGGCUUUGACGGGUAGCCGGCCUGAGAGGGUGACCGGCCACAUUGGGACUGAGAUACGGGCCAGACUCCUACGGGAGGCAGCAGGGGGGAAUAUUGCACAAUGGGCGGAAGCCUGAUGCAGCAACGCCGCGUGCGGGAUGACGGCCUUCGGGUUGUAAACCGCUUUCGCCUGUGACGAAGCGUGAGUGACGGUAAUGGGUAAAGAAGCACCGGCUAACUACGUGC
rnacentral:rRNA from 1 species